AAAAAGACAAACCCUGGUUUUCGUGCCUAACGUUUGACCGUUCGUCUUAUUUGAAAAAAUUAUGAAAAAAAUUAAAAAGACAAGUCACGCACAAAAUAUUAAUCAUGUUUUAUCAUCUAACAACAAUGAAAAUACGAAUUAUAAAAAAAUUUCAUAUAAGACGGACAGUUAAAGUUGGACACGGAAACUCAGGGUUUGCCUUUUU
rnacentral:pre_miRNA from 1 species